UUUAUACCCUAACAUUUUUUUUUCAUAGAAUAAAUGCCACUGGAAAUGAUCCAACUUUCAACAUUAGAAUGAGAAUUUUAUCAGAAUGGAACAUAUGCUACUUCAGGAUGGUGGUACACAGACCACCCCCCACCCUCUGGACCUGCCCAUCCAAGGAAAGAUCCCUUUUUAUCUCUGGGGUCUCCAAUGUCUACCACACAACCAAGCUCUGUGAGAGGGAGGUCACCAAGGAGGUGAAGAGAGAGAUGAGGCUGGAACGAGGCUGGGUCACAAACUAGCAGGAGAAAGAGAAAAUGAAACGAGAGAGACAACAGAACAGACUGUGUCUCAAAAGGCCAGAAGAAAGAGAGGCAUUCCCCAACCAAGACAGAUUCACAAGACAAUCCGGAGAGCAUGGAAAACAUCCUGAUAUCAGUAUCAGAUCCUGACAACACCCAAGAAACUGAGGGCUCAGGGCUGGUUGACUCUGUCUCCUUCACCUUGGCAACCUGUGGCAGUCUGAUUGGACAAGCUGGCUCCCUUCAGUCCAUCACCCAGCAACUGUCUGAAAUACACAACAGCCAAGAACAAACUUCUGGAAGUGUCAACUAUUGCAGACACAACAGCCAAGACUGAACUUCUGACUAUUGAAGAUACAAUGGCUAAACUGGACAUAGAGAAAGAAGAGAUUAUUGCUGAUGUGAUACCCAAGACUGAAAGUAAGGAGUUGGCCACUGUUGCAGGUACAACAGCCAAGAUUGAAGUUCAAGAAGUGGAGACAACUGCAGAUGUGAUGGUCAAGACUGAAGUCAAGGAAGUAGUUGAGAUUACCAAGAGCGACACCCAAGAGGCAAAGGUAGAGGCUAGUUUUGAGACAGAGAUCAAGCUGACUGAGGGGUUGAACAUUGACACUAAAAUGGAAGAAGAAGCCAAUGCUGAGAUCAAUGCAGAUAAACAAGACAAUACUAUGUCUGAGAAUAACACCAGGAGCUAUGAGCUUAUUCUAACAGCUGGAGAGUCCAAAAUAGAAGUCAGAGAUUAAAAAAUAGAAUCCAAGAUAGAAUUUAGGGAUAAGAAUAUUGAUGCAAAUAAUGAAACUAUGGAUGCAAAGGAUUCUGUUGAGAAUGCAUAUGCUGAGAAGAGUGAACACAGCCAUGGCAGUCAUGGAAGCCCUGAGCUAUCUCAGUCAUCAUCAGACAAUGAUGAAGGUGGUCCUUCGAUGUUCCCCAUAAUCAGCAUGUUGAAGAGCGCUGCCCUGUCCUCAGACCAGGUUAAUGAGAUCAUAGACAAGGUGAUCGACGUCCUGACUGGGGAGGGCCACGAGGUCAUCUUUUCCGAGGACAGGCCAAGUGUCACCUCCAGCCCAGAGUACCAGCCAAAGAACCUGCAUAGGCCACAGUGUUCAGAGGAGAUUCACUGCUGAGUCUCAUUCCAAGCUCUUGCCAUGAAGCAAACUGAAAUGGGUGGAGCUGAUUAGUAUGCUGUGUAUAUUGAUGACCAAAUCCAUUAGCUCCCUGUCUCUGGAUAGAGCUUUUCAGGUUCCAGUUGAUGCAGUCUCAGAUACAAAGGAAAGGAAAGCUUCUGCUGUGAAGUUUAGUACGAAUACCAGAACACUGGUGCCAAUCCCCUCCUCGCCCCACCCUCACUAAGCCUGUCCAAGACGACAGCAGGAGGAAAAUCCGACCUCUCCAGACUGCCAAGAGGAAAGUAUCCCAAGGGUUAGAGGCAGACCUGUAGCCAGAAGGUCACUGGUUGAAAUCCCAGGCAGGGCAAUGAAAAUGUGGGUACUGAAAUUGCAAUUCAAGGGCUGGUGGUUUCAGAGAACAUUUUGAAUAUCCUUUGCAAAAUGCACUAAUAAAGUUAUAUUCUUUCUUCCCUUAUUCUCAACAAAAGAAAGGGUGGUCAACUCCAUGGUCUUGGACAUUUCCAGGACCACUAGUAGAAGCAGUGGGAUGGUGGCUCAGCUGGGUUGUCCAGUCAAGAGCAACAACAGUCUGUUCAGCGAGCUUCCAAGCCCCUCUGCAGCCACCUCAAACACAUCCCUGGGCGCCUCUGAGAUCAUUGCGAAUCUGGAUUCUCCAGACUUCAUGUCAUCCAGUAGCAACACCAGCCCAAGCCCCCCAAAGGAACAGUAGUGACAACAGUCAACUAAUGGAACUGCAGAAACUGCGUUUUCUAAAUAU